AUGCAGAAAGGGCAUCCAAUUGCAUACAUGAGCAAGGCUCUUGGGAUACUUAACUGUAAAAUGUCCAUCUAUGAAAAAGAAUUCCUUGCUGUGAUUAUGGCUGUGGAUAAGUGGCGUCCUUAUUUACAGCGCGGCCCAUUUCAGAUAGUCACCGAUCAUAAGAGCCUCUGCAACCUAGAGGAUCAAAUUUUGACUACUGAUUUGCAACGCAAGGCAAUGGCCAAGCUCGUGGGUUUACAGUUUCAGAUUAAGUACAGAAAGGGCAGUGAUAAUGGUGCUGCUGAUUCCUUGUCUCGAGUGGGCCAUUUACUGGAAGCACAUGCCAUUUCCACCUUGCAACCUGAUUGGGUCCAGGAGGUUUCCAAUUCCUAUGUCACUGACACAGUGGCCACUCAGUUAUUACAAGAGCUGGCAAUUCAAUCACCUAAUGCAAAAGGUUAUGCAUUGAAGAAAGGCCUCAUUACUUACAAAGGCAGAAUGUAUAUUGGUGCAAAUCUUGCCCUACAAACUAAGCUGAUAGCAGCUCACCAUGAUACUGCAGUGGGAGGCCAUUCAGGUAUUCAGGCCACAUACCACAGAUUGAAGCAGCUGUAUUAUUGGCCAGGUCUUAAGGUUGCUGUGGAAAAUUAUAUCCAUCAAUGUAUAGUGUGUCAACAAGCAAAACACACUAAUACAAAACCAGCUGGCCUUCUGCAACCCUUGCCACCCCCCGACAGUCCUUGGAGUGAAUUGACAAUGGAUUUCAUCGAGGGUCUUCCUAAUUCAGAGGGUGCAAAUUCAAUAUUGGUGGUCGUUGACCGCUUAACAAAGUAUGCUCACUUUCUGCCCUUGCAUCAUCCUUUCACAGCAACUUCAGUGGCCAAAGUUUUCCUGGAUAAUGUGGUGAAACUACAUGGUAUUCCCAAAACCAUUAUCUCUGAUCGUGAUAAGAUCUUCACUAGUAAGUUUUGGAGAAACCUCCUGCAAUCCAUGGGUAUUGAGCGAACGAGUAAAUCAAUGUUUGGAGCAGUAUCUUCGUUGUGCUGUACAAGACAAUCCUCGUCAUUGGCGUCGUUGGCUAUCCAUGGCAAAGUUCUGGUACAAUUCCAGUUUUCAUACUGCUCUUCAAUGCUCACCAUUCCAAGCUUUGUAUCACAUCGCCCCAAAUUUUGGAGGAAUGCCUAA
rnacentral:rRNA from 1 species